rnacentral:rRNA from 1 species
GACGAACGCUGGCGGCGUGCUUAACACAUGCAAGUCGAACGCUCAGGCUUGGUGCUUGCUCAGGAUAGCUGAGAGGCGAACGGGUGAGUAAUACGUGAGUAACCUGCUCUCGACUCUGGGAUAAGCCUGGGAAACUGGGUCUAAUACUGGAUAUGACAUGCCAAUUCAUUGUGGUGUGUGGAAAGGUUUUUACUGGUUUUGGAUGGGCUCACGGCCUAUCAGCUUGUUGGUGGGGUAAUGGCCUACCAAGGCGACGACGGGUAGCCGGCCUGAGAGGGUGACCGGCCACACAGGGACUGAGACACGGCCCAGAGUCCUACGGGAGGCAGCAGUGGGAAAUUGUGCGCAAUGGGCGGAAGCCUGAUGCAGCGACGCCGCGUGGGGGAUGACGGCCUUCGGGGUGUAAACCUCUUUCAGCACGGAAGAAGCGAGAGUGACGGUACGUGCAGAAGAAGCGCCGGCUAACUACGUG